rnacentral:rRNA from 1 species
UGAGGAAUAUUGGUCAAUGGGCGAGAGCCUGAACCAGCCAAGUAGCGUGCAGGAUGACGGCCCUAUGGGUUGUAAACUGCUUUUGUAUGGGGAUAAAGUCAAUCACGUGUGAUUGUUUGCAGGUACCAUACGAAUAAGGACCGGCUAAUUCCGUGCCAGCAGCCGCGGUAAUACGGAAGGUCCGGGCGUUAUCCGGAUUUAUUGGGUUUAAAGGGAGCGUAGGCUGGAGAUUAAGUGUGUUGUGAAAUGUAGACGCUCAACGUCUGACUUGCAGCGCAUACUGGUUUCCUUGAGUACGCACAACGUUGGCGGAAUUCGUCGUGUAGCGGUGAAAUGCUUAGAUAUGACGAAGAACUCCGAUUGCGAAGGCAGCUGACGGGAGCGCAACUGACGCUGAAGCUCGAAGGUGCGGGUAUCGAACAGGAUUAGAUACCCUGGUAGUCCGCACAGUAACGAUGGAUGCCCGCUGUUGGUACCUGGUAUCAGCGGCUAAGCGAAAGCAUUAAGCAUCCCACCUGGGGAGUACGCCCGGCAACGGU